UCACUUCCCAUCUUUAGGCAGUGUCGUUUUACAAAUUCUCUAAUAGAACAACUUUUAUGGAACUUUUAAGACAUUCACCCCAUGUUGUAGUCUCUCCCUCUUUACAAUUUUCCUCCCCUCUGUCCUACCAGCUUUUUUUCCCCCCUUCUCUUCCUGUCUGCUUUUUCUGAUGUCUUUCCACAGAUAUCAGGGUGGUCUGGUUCAUAUUCUUUAAAUGGAUGGAAAAUGAUGACAAGGCUGCUAAGUUUCUCAGCCUGUCACACCACUGUUCUAGUGUUUGGAUGGGUCCCACAGUCUGUGUUUGAAUCCUAACUGGCCAGCAACCUCAC